UACGUAGGGUGCUAGCGUUAUCCGGAUUUACUGGGCGUAAAGGGUGCGUAGGUGGCACUGUAAGUCAGAUGUGAAAUCUCCCGGCUCAACCGGGAGCGUGCAUCUGAUACUGCAGUACUUGAGUGAUAGAGGGGAAAGCGGAAUUCCUAGUGUAGCGGUAAAAUGCGUAGAUAUUAGGAGGAAUACCAGUGGCGAAGGCGGCUUUCUGGACUGUAACUGACACUGAGGCACGAAAGCGUGGGUAGCAAACAGG
rnacentral:rRNA from 1 species